AGUGAACGCUGGCGGUAGGCCUAACACAUGCAAGUCGAACGGCAGCACAGUAAGAGCUUGCUCUUACGGGUGGCGAGUGGCGGACGGGUGAGGAAUACAUCGGAAUCUACUUUUUCGUGGGGGAUAACGUAGGGAAACUUACGCUAAUACCGCAUACGACCUACGGGUGAAAGCAGGGGAUCUUCGGACCUUGCGCGAUUGAAUGAGCCGAUGUCGGAUUAGCUAGUUGGCGGGGUAAAGGCCCACCAAGGCGACGAUCCGUAGCUGGUCUGAGAGGAUGAUCAGCAAAACGGGAACUGAGACACGGUGCAGACUCCUACGGGAGGCAGCAGUGGGGAAUAUUGGACAAUGGGCGCAAGCCUGAUCCAGACAUACCGCGUGGGUGAAGAAGGCCUUAGGGUUGUAAAGCCCUUUUGUUGGGAAAGAAAAGCAGCAGGUUAAUACCCCGCUGUUCUGACGGUACCCAAAGAAUAAGCACCGGCUAACUUCGUG
rnacentral:rRNA from 1 species